AGUGGCGGACGGGUGAGUAACGCGUGGGUAACCUGCCUCAUACAGGGGGAUAACAGUUAGAAAUGACUGCUAAUACCGCAUAAGACCACAGCACCGCAUGGUGCAGGGGUAAAAACUCCGGUGGUGUGAGAUGGACCCGCGUCUGAUUAGGUAGUUGGUGGGGUAACGGCCUACCAAGCCGACGAUCAGUAGCCGACCUGAGAGGGUGACCGGCCACAUUGGGACUGAGACACGGCCCAA
rnacentral:rRNA from 1 species